ncrna:unclassified sequences DTF3800-IX RNA
GCCCGCUGAACCGAACUGUCACCGUAUGGUGCGCGUGCCCCGCAAGGGGAUAGGGAGGCGGGCUCUU